UCGACCUAUUUCCGGCGAUGUCCAGUGUGUGACAUGACUUAUAGGUACCAGGAAUGGCAAGACGGUCUCCAUAACUUUGAUGACCAUACAAUAUUGACCCUGGAACUUUGUGUAUACCUGAGACUUAACCUACAGAACAACGUCUCAGUAUCCAAGGUAGUAAAUGCAAUCGAAGGCCUAAGAAAGGUGACAAUUCCUGGCAGAGAUGCAGUUCUGCAUGCGUACUGCCACUUUGAGGCAUUGACAAGCCAUGACUACUCCUUUUCUUGUGUUUGCUGUGGCUACUAUCCUCCAGUAGUUGUUAUGGACUUACACAAAAAAGGAGUGUUCAACUUCCCUGUGAGUGACAUUACAGAUGCCCCAGAGAACUUCACUGGUGAAGUCAACGUUGAAGA